UGGAUACAAACAUUAGGUAAUUAGAUGCGCUUACUGAACUACAGACGACAUACAUUCAUAAAUAGUAUGCACGGAGUACAAACACAAUAGUGUUUUGUUUUCGAAUUUGUUUGUUUGAAAUGAAUACGAGUAAUAGACCUACGUUGAGACACUGUGACAUCCCGCUGAUGCACUUUGCACGGAGGUACGGUAAAUAAUGACGUUUACCUAGAGAGGAGGGUGUGCAGGUUUAUAAAUUGUAUGAUAAUUAUGCGUAAUGGACGCAAGGUUGUAUAAUUAGUGGGACAUCAUUUUAACUUCAUAUCAAGCAUGGUAUCUUGAAAGCUAUACAUUUGUUACCUGAAGUCUGAAAUAGUGGUUGGAAGAACUUUGUUUACAGUUGUUGUAAAUAAUCGUAAAAAGCGUUGAAACAAGGGUUUUAAUUUAUAUUUUUCAUUAAAUCAUAUAUUUUUAGCAGCUCAAUAAAAAAAGUCUAGUCUAAUUACAUGAGUAUUGUAAGGUUUACGUUAGUUGGACUGUACAUUACCGUAGAUGUAAUCGUUGCAUUCUACCUGAAAACCGCAAGAAAACAGCUGUUAUUUCUUUUAUCGCGCAGCAAAUUAUAUCCCAGAAGAUAUUCAGAAUGUAAAGCGCUGGCUUUAUUUAUCUGGUCGCUAAGCGCAUUAGAUUCACCCACGCUUGCACACCGGCCAAAAUCUGUUUUUUUUUUUUAAUAUUUAAUUUAUCAUCUUAUAGUGCAGUAGUAUUCGUUACUCGUAUGUCCUGAUGGGACUGCCAAUGAGUUUAAUGUUUGCAAGAGUUCGAUUGGUAUAAUCGCAAUAACUACCUGGCAUGACAUGAAUUAUGUUUGUAGGCCAUGGUUUUCGACUUUAUGCGCGUAUUGGCUUGAUAGUCUGGUUAUUUGCAUUACUUGUUUUGUUUAAUCAUUUUAUAUUUUUUAUUUGAAGAUUUGAAUGACUGUGGUGAAUUAAUUUUAAUUGCGGUUUCCGUAAUUAAAUUUCCUUUUAAUGUUUGCUUCUUAAAAUAUCAUGUAGUGGCAUAAUAAUAAUUGUGCACCGGUAUGUGUUUUCAGCUAGCGGCGAAGGCAGUGUUGCAUGAUGUGGUCUGUGGUUCUAAUAACGGUGCUCAGGCUGUUAUUCCGCUUCUCGGCUCCGAGUUUAAGCAUUCAAUUAAUUUGAUUAGGAUUGUUAUAUUCUUAUAACGUAUGUACGACUCGGUGAUUUCUCAAAGCAUCGUGAAAGGAAUUCGUUAUUCAUAGACACGUUGAAGACGCAUAAAAUUUAAUUUUCGUCAGUGUUUUGCGCGCUAUCGAAUAUAGUUUCUUUUUAACAUGACACGGAUAAAUUAUGAAUGCCAUCAAAAUAUUAUAAUGUCUAAAAUGAUCGGGUAGCGUUGCUUAGCUCAUAUAAAAUAAUACGUGUGUUUUACAAAUUUAACGAUUCAUUUUUUGUGUAGCCGGGCGGACGGCAUAUUUUGUGGCGGCUUGUUUUUCGCGUCACAAAAAUAGACUAGUCCACUACUUUGCUAAAUAAUAAGAAAAAUAUCGGGAUUGGCCGUGUACGAAAUGACCAUCCUCAUCAAUCAGCUGCUUGGAACGGGUCCAAAAUUUUUUCCACGUUUAGGUUUCGUAGUUUAGUUCUGGUAAUUCAACUAGCUUCUUGUCGCGUUGUUGCGCUAUGCAGCCCGCAAAGCUUACGGUUCUAUAUUUUCUGCGGUGCUCUUGAAAGUACAUGUUAAUAUGUAGGUGCAUUAAUUAAUUUUCCUUUUACCGGCGUUGACCCAAUACGUUUAUUAAUAAAAAUAAUUCUCUUUAAAAAUCAUUUCGAUGAAUUAUACUGUAAUAAGUUGUUUUUUUAAUUACUUCCAAUGACGUAAUAUAAUAAUGAGAAUUUUUAGUGGUUAAAUCAUUAAAUAAAUACGUCUAAUAUAUGUCUUACUAAUCCUACAUAUGGGAAAAGUUUUGUAGCCGGGUGUCACUGUUAUCAGUAAACAGAGGGACGUUCGAUUUAACAUCAUCCCGAAUAGAUUAUUUUUCUAAACUAAAUGACGAAAAGGGUAAUUAACUUUGGUUCAUCAACAGUUCCUACACAUACCACGAUGACCCACAAAUAUUAUGAAACACACUGAACGUUGAAUUACAAAAUACUACAUGUCAUGGUAAUGCUUUGAGACCUCAGGUAUCAGCCUUAAAUUUUACUAUUUACACUGGUUACAAUUUCCUUAAUUCUGGGAAAAUUAAGAACAACAACAAAAAGCGGCAAGAAUGGUUUAAAGCGAUUGUACAAAUGGGGGAAAACCUAUGCGUUUGCAAAUAAAACAAUAGCUGCCACGUAUAAAUAUUUCGUCACAUGAGAUGUACUCUGAACUUACGAUGCGCUAUAAAAAUUAUAACCUAUUAUAGUCCAAAUUUGUUUGAUUGUAUAAUAUAGGUAAAGAAAUUAAAUAUAUAGCCAUAUUACCAUUUUAGACAGUUAAAUUAAUAAAAAAUAUUUUUUCAUAAUAUAAUUGUAUUUUUAUUUUAAUGUUUACUCAUAACGAUAGCUACAAGGAAAAUAUUGUAACCUCUUUUAACCAAAUUUAGUUGCAAUUAAUCAUACAAAUUUGGCAAAAGGUGAGCUGAUUUAAUGUGUUGUUGCAGGUGUCGCUAUGACUUACAGUAGUUAAAAUUCGUGAAAUACAAAAGUAUUAAACAAAUACUUUCUAUUUCUGUAACUAUUGACAGAUGUAAAUGGUAUUUCUGUAUUUUCGUUGUCACGAAAAGUCCUCUGAGACAAUUCAAACGAAAUGUUCACGACACUUUUACGCAAUUCCUGUCUUACCCCUCAACGCUGCCAAGAUGCUACGUCAUCUGGAUAGCAAGAUCAACCAAACAAAAUUAUUCCUUUUGCUACAUAUCAUUUGUGUUUAUUCUCCAAAUUGUCCCCGCGUCCCUUACUUGGUUGACAUAAUUAUUCAUUAAUGAGAUUGAUGACUCGCAUUUCUAUUCUCUUUUUUUAAUGACUAAUGUGAAUAUUUAUAUAGGUCGAAUAUUUUCAAGUGUAUAUAUUAUAAUACAAAAUGUAGAUUUAGCGUCGAGUGGUUUUUAUUGCGCAUUUUUCGUUCUUCUAUGGCAAUUGACGUGUCCCAUAGUGACUCUAGUCUUCCUUCCUAGUCUGUCAAAGCAGGCCGUUGAACUUUUGCUCCUUAUUUAGCUUAUAGAAUAUAGAAGUCGAGACGUUGUCCGACUGAAUCGGGCAGCACGACCCGCUUCGCGAAAUGGGUACGAAUGAUUCGCUUCCGCAAUCUGUGGCGAACCUUUCUUAUUUGUCGUAGUUCGGUCGCAUUUUUUUUUUCACAUAAAUCGUAUUAAUCUUACAUCAAUAGUAAGUCCAUAAUAGAAUGAUCAGAGUAUUGAGAUAAGAGUCUUUAAGGUAUCUCGUAAGUAUAUAACUGAAAUAAAGACCGCAUCCCCACUAGAAAGUUAAAAAAAUAUAAAAAAUAAAAGAAAACAUCCUUUUAAAAAAUAUCUUUGAGACUACAAAUAGGAAUUUCGUAUAACGUGGCAAAUGGCACGUGAUUCUAAUACGGAGUGCGUAUUGCCAGAGGAAUCAAAGUGGUUCCCCGUUGCAUGACGUCGCGAAAGUCGUGACAACAUGGCGCAGUCCUCGUAGUUUAGAUGCAGUUCAGAAAUAGUCCACGGAAGCGUCCGACCGACCCGUUUGGUAUUUGUUCAACGUUGACCUAAAACAGUGUUCGCUUUGCUCGUUUGUUAUUCUGUUGGCCGACUACCCCGUUGUGAAUACUGUACAAACCGCAUUAACGACCGCUUAUUAUUUUAGUAUAUGUUUUAUGACUUAUUUUAAUAUACGAAUGGUUUUAUGCCUUUAAUCUAUUCGAAUGUGUAUUGUAAAUUAGGUUGAACAUGGCCGAGAUUAGGAAAGAUAUACGUAUUGAUAAACGGCGUCUCCUCAAUUAUAUGGUUAGAAACAUAAAUAUAAAAUGACGCGCCGAUACGUUGAUGCGAUUUUCGAAAGUUCCACCGAUUGUAGCGUGUUCUCGUCACGCGGCACGGUGCCAGAGUGCUCAGAGCCGUAGCACACGUGUAAUAUGACGGAUGAAUGGGGGUCGUCAAGUCGUCACGUGCGACGGUGACCACUGCAAUUAGUAAACACCGCGCUUUUUUACCAUCUGUCAAAAUAAUUUAGUGGCACAGGUCACGUUAGAUUUACUUUUAUGUUUUUUGCGCUCACCUUAGCUGGAAUAUUUAUGAUUGACCAUCAAAGUAGUUAUUAAGGUAGAUUUUCUUGCAUUGCUCUAGAUAAUAGUUUUCAGAGAUUAAUUAUAAUUACCUAUAUAGUUAGAAAUGUUGAAAAUGGGCUUCGAUAUCAAAAUAUGAUUUUUAAAUUAGCGAAAUGUUGAAUUCUUCCGACUUAAAAACUUGACAAUACACAACAUUCCUGAAGCAUGUGAAUAGCGGUAGGUGGUUAUUAAAAUGUGAAAUUUAGUCUUCAGUUCAUGAUAUUUGGCACUUUCACAGCAAUAACAACUAUAUUACGAGAGAGGAUCGAACGUUGCCAAGGGAAAGUUAUUUCCUCCUGUCUCUGUGAGACAAUUUAACAAGUGUUACAGUUAAUUGUCUAGUGCGAUCUCCAUUCGGUCGCCAAUGAUUAUAAAUCCGAGAUUAAUCAGUCGCGCGAUUGUCUCAGUCGUACUCGUCGUACCGAACCAAGGCGACCCAAGGUUGUGGUCUGCGGCGCUGAUCUACGAGCGCUCGUGACUCGCGAGCACUGCGCAAUGAACAUCCACAUUACACAUACGUGUGUUACACUUCAUACUCUGCAGUUCGACAUAGUCCCAGACCGAACGUAGCUCUAACUGUGCCUCGACGAUAAACAGACGGCUGCCGUUGCCGACUCGCUGAAAACAUCCUUUUACGUCAUCGGCCCGUUAUGGGUUACGCCUUGAUCUCUUCUGAUACAUAUUUUGUUAUACGAAUGCUUUGUUUGGAAUAUCUGCUGCAGUGUUUUAAUAAUUAACAACAGGGAUUUGCCCGAGAUUUGCGACGUGUAUUGUAGGCUUUUAUCGCUGCCAUUAUAUUGUUAUUGAUAUACA